UUUUUAUAAGUUGUAUUUUACUAAUUCUAUUCGGAAUAAGAUUAUAUAUUCUUACUUGAACUCUUAAACAUAAUUUAACUAAAAUACUUAAACAAAAACAUUAAAAUAAUUAAGUUUUAUCUAAACUUAAUUAAAAUAAUAAAAAAUAAUUAAAAUAAUACUUAAAAUAUUCUCAUCUCCUUAUCCAAAUCUCCAUGUAGCUUUAUCUUCCUUGAACUUCCAAUUUGAGUGGAAUUUUGUUAUGUUUCCGAUACCAAGAUCUUGUCACUGUGUGCUUAUCUGAAAUUUCUGGUUCCAUAAUCUGCUUCUUCUCUUUGUUGCGAUUUCUUGAGCGGAUUAUUUUGUGAAGAUAAAUUACAAUUCAUCAAAAAGAGGUGCUACCUUGGAUUUCAUUAGAGAGAGUUCCAAUCUCGUACUUUAAAAUAAUAUUCUAACUUUUUUCAUUAAUAGUAAGCACUCUCCUUUAUAUAGAGAUUACAAUUUUUAUUUAAGAAUGUAAAUUUAAUUAGAAAUACUCUAUUAAAAUAUUGAGAAUUUUACACUAUUUAAGAAUUAAAUACUAAUGAAAAAUAUAUAUAUUAUUUAGGAAUUUAAUAUUAAUUAGAAUUUCAACUAUUUAGAAAUUUAAUACUAAUUAAAAUUAUAUAUUUAAUUGAACGUCAAUUUUUUAUGCUUGCUGCACUUUCUAUAUUUGUAUUCAUUACAAAUUUCAUCUUCAAUUUUGCACUUUAAACACAUAGGAUAAUUUAUAAAAGUCCUUGCAACUUAAAAUUGUAGGAAAAUUAGGAAAAAAUGGAGAAAAGAACCCCAAAUAGGACUUACCAUGUGCCUGCCAGCCUAACCGUGCUGGUGGCGUGCAGGAUAGCUUGCGCUUGGCGUGCGGAAGCUUCCUCCUCGCGUGCGCAGUCGCCUGGGCAUUUGCCUGGGUGCGAUGGCACAUGUGUAGCUGCUACAUCACACAUGUGCCAUCGCUGUGGCGUGCGGUUACUGCUGCCCGCACGCCCUGUGCGCUGCCUCACAUGGGAAGCAAUCCUGCGUGUGCGAGUGAUCCUUCCUACUCAUGUGGUUGCCCGCACAUGUGCCAAAGGAGGGUCACAUGUGUGACAUGUGUUGUCUGCAUGUCUUUUCAAACGGGUACCUUCUUUUGGGCUUCAAUUGUGAUCUUGUUAAUCACCCAUUCUUGUAUUAAGAGAUUGAAAAUAUUUUAAAACUUCUUGGUCCAGCUUCUUGUAAUUGGACCUAGGGGCAAUUGAAUUUGAUUCUGAUUUGCCAAAGUCCAUCUUGGACAAUUGUAGCCUUUCCUUCUUGAAACGGAACAGGAAUUAAGGAUGACUUGCUUGCAGCUUCUCCUUUGUCAGCACUUUGAGUACUUGUUAUGUUUGGGAUCAUGUCAAGAAAGUUAUGCAUGAAUGAGGAAUUUAAUCUUUCUCUCCUCUACCUCUUAGCCUUCUUAUAUUUCUUAUCUUUCUUCCCUUUCCCUUCUUUGCCAAUCUCUGAAUGCCCAACAGAUACAACUCGGUAAUCAAGCAUUGCCUCUCCUUUCCCUUCUCUGCUAAUCUCUGAAUGCUCGACAGUUACAACUCGGUAUUAGGCAUUGCCUCAAUAAAAGAGAAUGGUAAUAGAUGAAAGUAGUUGUAGACAGUGAUGUUGAUAGAAUUGAUAAAUGGUGAUUGUGAUGGAGGUGAGGUUGGUUCAUAUGAUGAGUUGUGGUGCUGCCCACUUAAUCAAUUUGCUUGUUAUGGAUAUCCAUUAUAUCAUGGAAAGCUACACAAGUAGUUAUAAUAGUGAUGGCAAUUCCAACUAGGGAGGGUAUC
rnacentral:lncRNA from 1 species